GAAAGCCACAAUUGGAGUGUGCGCCUUCACAGCCAGCUCCGGACUGGCAGCUUCGUGUGUUCCCAGGUUUAAAGGUAACCACUAUCCUGAGUUGAGCCCCAAGGGAAUAGAAUCCUGUAUGUGGUUUCCUAGACCACAGGUCUGCCUUUCAAAGCCUCAACCUGACAGAUACUGAAACCAAAUACUUCAACCUACAAUUUACUUCUUUUGAGACCAGGAAAUAAGAAGGCCUAAACCAGACCAGCUCCCAGGAAUUGGAACCUGGGUGUACUAGCAAUGCCCUCCCAAGUUAAUCCAGGGCCUAGCAGAAGAUGGCAGAGCCCAUUUGCUGCUUAUUUCCAAUCUGAAGCAGUCUAAGGCUGGUACAGGAUCAAUAUGGAUCUCCACCUACAGGUUGGCCUUCUGCCUCUUCCUGGAGAGGCCCCACAUUCUGGGAACAAGGUAUGAUAAGCUUUUCUUCAGUGUUUGAUGGGCUAACCUGCUUGAUGAAUUAAACAGUCUUAUUUCC